AUUGCGCGCGACCCGGCGGCGGGACAGGCUUGCUGCUUCCUCCUCCUCGGCCUCACCAUUCCAGACCAAAAUUGAAAAAAUGGUUGACCUCACCCAGGUAAUGGAUGAUGAAGUAUUCAUGGCUUUUGCGUCCUAUGCAACAAUUAUUCUUUCAAAAAUGAUGCUUAUGAGUACUGCAACUGCAUUCUAUAGAUUGACAAGAAAGGUAAGAAAUUUGGAGGUAAUAUUUUCUUACUUUUAAGAGUUGGAAUUCUGGAGAGCAGUUUUCUUAAUUUUCUUUUUUUAUUUUUGGUAAAGCCCAAUAGCACACUGUUUUAUGCUGUAAGUGAAGUAUGCAAUCGUUUGGCACAGAUGGAUCUGAUGUAUUUAUGGAACAGUUGCUUUCUCCUAGAAACUAGUAAAUGGUUUUUUCAUUAUGGCUUUUACCUUUUUAUCAUUCUGCUAAGCAGAUGAGAUAUUCUGGAAUAUCAAAGUUUUCACAGAAACUUUCUUUCAUUUUGGAAUUAAUUUUGCCAAUGAGGGUUUAGAAAACAAUCAUUUUCUAGACAGUU
rnacentral:sRNA from 1 species